GAGGAGCAGUAGGGAAUCUUCCGCAAUGGACGAAAGUCUGACGGAGCAACGCCGCGUGAGUGAUGAAGGCUUUCGGGUCGUAAAACUCUGUUGUUAGGGAAGAACAAGUACGAGAGUAACUGCUCGUACCUUGACGGUACCUAACCAGAAAGCCACGGCUAACUACGUGCCAGCAGCCGCGGUAAUACGUAGGUGGCAAGCGUUAUCCGGAAUUAUUGGGCGUAAAGCGCGCGCAGGCGGUUUCUUAAGUCUGAUGUGAAAGCCCACGGCUCAACCGUGGAGGGUCAUUGGAAACUGGGGAACUUGAGUGCAGAAGAGAAAAGCGGAAUUCCACGUGUAGCGGUGAAAUGCGUAGAGAUGUGGAGGAACACCAGUGGCGAAGGCGGCUUUUUGGUCUGUAACUGACGCUGAGGCGCGAAAGCGUGGGGAGCAAACAGGAUUAGAUACCCUGGUAGUCCACGCCGUAAACGAUGAGUGCUAAGUGUUAGAGGGUUUCCGCCCUUUAGUGCUGCAGCUAACGCAUUAAGCACUCCGCCUGGGAGACGCCG
rnacentral:rRNA from 2 species